GAUGAACGCUGGCGGCGUGCUUAACACAUGCAAGUCGAACGAAGCAUUUAAGACAGAUUCCUUCGGUUUGAAGUCUUUUAUGACUGAGUGGCGGACGGGUGAGUAACGCGUGGGUAACCUGCCUCAUACAGGGGGAUAGCAGCUGGAAACGGCUGGUAAUACCGCAUAAGCGCACAGUACCACAUGGUACAGUGUGAAAAACUCCGGUGGUAUGAGAUGGACCCGCGUCUGAUUAGCUUGUUGGCGGGGUAACGGCCCACCAAGGCGACGAUCAGUAGCCGACCUGAGAGGGUGACCGGCCACAGUGGGACUGAGACACGGCCCAGACUCCUACGGGAGGCAGCAGUGGGGAAUAUUGCACAAUGGAGGAAACUCUGAUGCAGCGACGCCGCGUGAGUGAAGAAGUAGUUCGCUAUGUAAAGCUCUAUCAGCAGGGAAGAUAGUGACGGUACCUGACUAAGAAGCUCCGGCUAAAUACGUG
rnacentral:rRNA from 1 species